CCUAAACUUUGUUUAAAAGGGGAACAGAAUAUAAAUAAACACACAGAGGUGAUUUUAUCUAUACACACACACUCAGACCUACAUCCGUGCCUGAAAGGACAUUCAAGACACAAAUGACAAGGCACCUGAAGGGCAAGGACUGUGGAAACAUGAAAAUGGGGACGCUUGUGAGAAGACUUUAGAGUAUGCCUGUGAUCCGAAACCUCUGUUCACAUCUUCCUCCAAUUUGAGUGCUCUCCGAGACGGCGGGGUGAGAGGGUGUGACUCCUUGCCACAGUCAUUGGUUCCCACUCUCAUUUGUGCAGUGGAGACAGUCUGUGCUGUGAGAGGUAAUGAGACGACCGACAGUUAAAGGACAGAGUCCUUCCUUUGUCUUCCAGGCUCCAUUCUGCUGCCUCCCACAGCCUUCGGGAUGAGGCUGCACCAACAGUAGUUAUAAACUUUCACAUUCCAGGAUGCCAGGUCUGGGAUGUCCCUGGCCUUCGCCAUAGAGGGUGACAGCAAGAUCAAGUCUAACCAAAGGGAUAGAAAGUGGCAAGUAUUGGGAGACCAUAGAAAUAAGACACUCAGGAGUAUGCCUAAAGCUAAUGAAAUAUGAAUUGAAAGCCAUUUCAGCAGGGUUAGUAAAGACAGUUUUGCACUAUCACCUUCAUUAUCAAUAACAAUGACAAUAAAACAAUCAAAACAAAGGAACAGGGAAGCGGAUGUGGCUCAAGCAGUUGGGCACCCGCCUACCACAUGAGAGGUCCUGGUUUUGUUCCCAGUGCCUCCUAAAGAAGACGAGCAAGACAGAGAGCUGACACGAAGGGCUGGCUCUGUGAGCUGACGUGAAAAGAUGACACAGUGAGAUGAUGGCAAUGAAAUGACACAACAAGGAGAGACAAUGAGAGACACUAUAAGCAGGCAGCAGAGGUAGCUCAAGCAAUUGGGUGCCUCCCUCCUACAUGAGAGGUCCUAGAUUCAGUUCCUGGUGCAUCCUAAAAAGAUGAGUAGAAACAGAAAGCACACAACAAACAAACACAGAGAGCAGACAGCAAGUGCAAACAACAAGGGGGGAUAGAAAUAAAUAAACAAAAUAAAUCUUUUUUAAAAAAGAACACAAUAAAGAUAAGCAAAUGUACUGAAAGAGGCUAGCAUGUUUGGUAAAUUCAGAGAUAUACAUUAUAGCUAUUUAUCUUUAUGACCUUUUAGGAUGUGAUCUUUUUUUGGAGGGGGUAAUAAGUGUUCUUUUAAUUUAUAUACACUGACACACAAAAACUAAAAGCUUUCCUUCCUGGUUGCCAUUUGCUUGACUUUGGGAUUUUGUCCGUAUGAAGGUCCCCUCAGGCGUUUACGUCCAAAACCCUGAGGUGACUGCUGGGAGGUGAGCAGAUCCACGGCAGAAGCUACUGCACAUGCCUUGCGAUACAGGGAGGACACCUGAGGUUAUGCUUCCACAGUGGGGCCGGUUGAGGGAAGAAAUGGGAUGCCGUAAGGCAAGGAGUGCAGCUGUCUAAACGAGCCCAGAGUUCCCGAACAGUUUAGGUCUAAAGCAGGAGUUCUCAGCCAGGGGUCCAGGAGCUUGAGCUGAAAUUCAAAAGAACAUUAUUCUCGGGGGGACGUGUUGGUGCAGGUGUG
ensembl:lincRNA